rnacentral:tRNA from 1 species
GCCGCGUUAGCUCAGAUGGCAGAGCGUCGCCCUUGUAAUGCGAAUGUCGAGAGUUCGAUUCUCUCACGCGGCU